AGGGUGUCACCGACCACACACAGCGCCUGUCCAUUAUAACGAAGGACCUCUUCCAGGUAGAGUGAGGUCCUUAGCCGCUGCCCGGCGGGGGGAAGCAGGGUGCUGCUUCUCUUAUGGAACAACAUCGCCUCCUGCUCUUGUCCCAGGUGGCAUUUAACCGAGUGGCGCGAGGCAUGCUGCAUCAGGACCACAUCACCUUUGCCAUGCUGUUGGCGAGAAUCAAACUGAAGGGCACCGUGGGGGAGCCCACUUACGAUGCAGAAUUCCAGCACUUCUUGAGAGGAAAUGAGAUUGUCCUGAGUGCUGGCUCCACCCCCAGGAUCCAGGGCCUGACUGUGGAGCAGGCGGAGGCGGUGGUGAGGCUGAGCUGCCUUCCCGCGUUUAAGGACUUGAUUGCAAAGGUUCAGGCAGACGAGCAAUUUGGCAUCUGGCUGGACAGCAGCUCCCCGGAGCAGACCGUGCCCUACCUCUGGAGUGAAGAAACACCUGCAACACCCAUUGGCCAGGCCAUCCACCGCCUGCUCCUGAUCCAGGCUUUCCGGCCCGAUCGCCUGUUGGCCAUGGCCCACAUGUUUGUUUCAACAAACCUUGGGGAGUCUUUCAUGUCCAUCAUGGAGCAGCCGCUCGACCUGACCCACAUUGUGGGCACAGAGGUGAAGCCCAACACUCCUGUCUUAAUGUGCUCUGUGCCUGGUUAUGAUGCCAGUGGGCAUGUCGAGGACCUUGCAGCCGAGCAGAACACGCAGAUCACUUCAAUUGCAA
rnacentral:sRNA from 1 species